rnacentral:ncRNA from 1 species
GAAGGGCAUACCCCUAUGUGGUUAUAAAUACCACUUUAGGGGACUCGCACCGGUGAGUGCGUGUAAAGAGCGUGUGGCGGAAACGCCCACAAUGUCGGUCUAGGGAAAGCAUGUUGGGAUAGCAUGCCGGGACCGGGGUGGAGGUGGGUUGAAAAAAAAAAAAAUAGCCAAAUGCCUCGUCAUCUAAUUAGUGACGCGCAUGAAUGGAUUAACGAGAUUCCCACUGU